UUCAGUUUGCUAUGUCUAUGUGUGGUUUUGUAUUUGUAAUUGAAGCACUUAGUGUUUGCUCUUACUGUGUUUGUCUUGGCUCUAAUUUGAAUAGAAAACUAAGGAAGAGAGGGAGAGGCAAAUUGGGUCAAACUAGAUAUAUCAUGGAAUAAGCACAGAGGAGUUUAGUUAGCUAAAAGGGUGAACGCUGGAAACAUUUAUAUGGUACUGCUGGAAACAUUUAUAGGUAUGAGGAACUUGCUUCUAACCCUAACAUGGAGUACAUUGCUGGAGGUGCUACUCAAAACUCCAUUUGAGUUGCCCAGUGUACACGAACAAAACAUGAACUUUUGGAACUCAUGUGGUUUUAUAACUUGCAACAAGUUAUUUUAGUUUUCCA